UAGGGAAUCUUCCACAAUGGGCGAAAGCCUGAUGGAGCAACGCCGCGUGUGUGAUGAAGGCUUCGGUCGUAAAGCACUGUUGUAAGAGAAGAAUGACAUUGAGAGUAACUGUUCAAUGUGUGACGGUAUCUUACCAGAAAGGAACGGCUAAAUACGUGCCAG
rnacentral:rRNA from 1 species